GUUCGGGUCCCCUCCCACGUUGUGGAAGAUUUGUUCUUUCCCCCUUUGCAAUAAAUCUUGCUGCUGCUCACUUUUUAGGUCCACAUUACCUUUAUGAGCUGUAACACUCAUGGUGAAGGUUUGCAGCUUCACUCCUGAAGCCAGCCAGACCAGGAACCCACCACAAGAAACAAACAAUUUUGGAGCCGCAAUAAGACUCACUGUGAAGGUCUGCGGCUUCACCCCUGAAGUCAGCCAGACCACGAACCCACCGGGAGGAACAAACAACUCCGGACGCACCACCUUUAAGAGCUGUAACGCUCACUGCAAAGGUCUGCGGCUUAACUCAUGAAGUCGUGCAUAGACCACGAACCCGGUAGAAGGAAGAAACUCCCGACACAUCUGAACAUCUGAAGGAACAAACUCUGGACACACCAUCUUUAAGUGUAACACUGCGAGGGUCCACGGCUUCAUUCUUGAAGUCAGCGGGACCAGGAACCCAUCGGAGGGAACCAAUUCCGGACACACAGCCUCGUGGAAUGGUUCUGCACUCUGUGUGUGUGUUUCCCGUCAACCCUGUGCACACUAUUAAAAGAACACAAGCGCUAAGCCUCCCUCUCAGACCUACUGAUGCAAGAUAUUGUGAUUUUGACCUUGUUGGAUGCUGCACCUAAAGGUGGAUGGAAGAGGAAGAGUCUUGGGGGCUACCAUCCUGGCUGGAGAAGCUGGCACGAGGCUCCCUCUUGUGGAUGCAGCAAGGUCUAGGAAAUGGAGGCACAGUGAGAUAAAAUAAGUUGCUCAAAGCCAUAUGGCAAUUAAGACUUGAACUCUAAAAGGGUUUUAUUUUUAUUUUUAUUUAAUUAAUUAAUUUUUUUGAGACAGAGUCUUGCUCUGUUGCCCAGGCUGGUGUGCAGUGGCACAAUCACAACUCACUGCAGCCUCAACCUCCUGAGCUCAAGGGAUCCUCCCAUCUCAGCCUCCCAAGUAGCUGGGAUCACAGGAAGGUGCCACCAUGCCAGGCUAAUUUUUUAUUUUUAGUAGAGAUGGGGGUCUCACUAUGUUGCCGAGGCUGGUCUUGAACUCCUGGGCUCAAGCAGUUCUUCCAUCUCAGGCUCCCAAAGUGCUGGGGUUACAGGCUUGAGCCACUGUGCUCGGCCUGUUUUAUUAAUCUCUAAGUGCCCUGCAUCUGCUCUAAGGAGUGUGGCAUAGUCCUUGAUACUGGAUAACUGAGUAACGCAGGUAGUUUGUAUGAGAAGUGCAGUAACCACAUGGUGAAUGGAAGAUGAUGCUGUACACUUGCCCGGAGUUCACAGCUGGGACACUGUGGUUACCAGGACGCAGCUUCCAGAAUGGCUGACUAAACCUAGAAAAUGCAGACUCUACUGGGUCUUUGUGUUUGUUUUUUAAAUGGGAAAAUUAAUUCUGCCAUUUACCUUCAAAGAGUUAGUGGGAGUGACAUAAAAUUGUUGAUAAAAAUCUUUGGAAGUCUCAGUGAGGGGAUCUGCUAUAAUGAAAUGAUGAAAUAAUUGAUGAAAUUAUUUCGUUCGUAAACAGUCUAAGGGCCAAGGGAAGAGAAGAGUGACAUAGAAUCUCCUUUCCUUGAGAUCUUAGAAUCACGCCUGCCUCCUUACCUCCAUCCAGGACUGUUGAAAAUCUCCUAAAGCAGAGACUUUUAGGCCUACAUGUACUUAGCCUCCUCUUCCCACCUCCUGUUCAUCUCUGUUUCCAAUGUUCCACUGCCAUCACUGCCAGGAAGUUCUGCAGAGAAGAAUGAAGAAGAACCGUAUGAUCCUAAACAUGUUCUCUGAAGAUAUUAUCAACUCACCAUUGGCAUUAUUUACUGGAAUGUUUUUAUAACCUUUAUUUGACACCUCUUCCCAUCAUUUAAAAUAAAUCUGGUGCUUCCCUGAAUAA